UACGAAGGGUGCGAGCGUUGUUCGGACUUACUGGGCGUAAAGGGUUCGUAGGCGGGAGCCUAAGUCAUGUGUGAAAUCCCCGGGCUUAACCCGGGACGUGCACGUGAAACUGGGUUUCUUGAGUAUCGGAGAGGGUCAUGGAAUUGCUGGUGUAGGAGUGACAUCCGUAGAGAUCAGCAGGAACACCGGAGGCGAAAGCGAUGACCUGGCCGAAUACUGACGCUGAGGAACGAAAGCGUGGGGAGCAAACAGG
rnacentral:rRNA from 1 species